AACGCACAUUGCGCCCGCUGGUAUUCCGGCGGGCAUGCCUGUUCGAGCGUCAUAUCGUAAGUCAGGCCUUGUCUGAUGUUGAGGUUUUUUUCCGAGCUAGUGGGAACACUAAUCGGAGCCUCUGAAAUUGAUAAGCGGCUAUAGAGACUAGUAGUGUCCGAGCGUUGUGAAAACUCUCGCUCCGGCGCUGGCGGUACUUGGUCGUUAGGGCGCAUAUAGCGUCAGUUUAAUUUUCGACCUCGAAUCAGGUAGGGAUACCCGCUGAACUUAA
rnacentral:misc_RNA from 1 species